ACCAACCAAAAAAAAGUAAAAAGGAAAGAAAAAAUAGCCAAACCAAGGGAAAAGGGGAAAGGGAAAAAAAAAGGAAAAAGAAAGGGGAAAUCCCAGGUGCUCGGAACCUGGACUAUGUGUGACACCUAACUCAGCGGCACCCAUGAAGGGUGAGGAAACUGGCCACUCGCUCAGCCUGGACAAAACGAGGUUCACGAGAUUCAGGGAAAACCUUUCUGCUCUCUACAACUCUCAGUCAGCAGGUUGUAGCCAGGGCAGACAAGGACUGCAGGACGUUCAUUCACAUGACAGGGAGCUGGAGAAUGAUGUGAGGAUAGAAGUCUGUGUCACACCUAACAACUGUGCCCCAGCACUUGAAAUCACUAUUGAAUGGGAGACUCCAGAAGGCUGAAUCAAGCAGAGAUGCACCAGAACAGGAGCACUGCUCACACUUACUCAGAUCCUUCUAAUUCCACAGUCAAGAGACUGGACAAAUCCAGUAAUACAACGGCUUAGAUUUAGUCCAAGAGGAUCAAAAGUAGAACCCAUCUGUAGAAGAAGCUAUAAAGAUGUUUUAGACUGAAAAGACUCACAUGACAAGAAAAAACAGCAAGUUACUAUUACUCAAACCUCCUAUUUCAAGAACCCCAUUUCACAGAAUUUUUAAAUCAUAGGAAAUAUAGAAUAGAGAAUUAAUGUUUCCCUUCAGCAAUAAAGCCCCAAACAAUUUGGGCUGAAGUCAGGGGGCUGUGAUGACGUUAGGACAAGGAAGACCUGAAUGACAGAAUAAAUACAGGAGAUAUCGGAGGAAACUAUCUGGAUCAUCAGAAUCUAACACACAAAAGGUUUAAUGUUGAAAACAUUAAAAAAGCUGGAAGUUGUGACAGGUGCACAAUAAAUCAUGCAAACCACAGCAGUUGGGAAUAAACAGCAAAAGGAGAAGGACUUCAAAUACUGAAAGUCCUUUUUUUGUAAAUUAAUUUUUUUACUUCGAGCUCUUUGGGACAAGAAUGGUCUUUUUCCUCUGCAUUUGCACAGUGCCUGGUGCUGGUCUGCCACUGGCCUCCUUAACAUUUAUUACAACACAAAUAAUAAUAAAGACUGAGCAGACCA